UAGCUAGUUGGUGGGGUAAGGGCCUACCAAGGCGACGAUCGGUAGCUGGUCUGAGAGGAUGACCAGCCACACUGGAACUGAGACACGGUCCAGACUCCUACGGGAGGCAGCAGUGGGGAAUAUUGGACAAUGGGGGGAACCCUGAUCCAGCAAUGCCGCGUGUGUGAAGAAGGCCUGAGGGUUGUAAAGCACUUUCAGUGGGGAGGAGUAUGCUUAGGUUAAGAGCUAGAGUAUAGGACGUUACCCACAGAAGAAGCACCGGCUAACUCCGUGCCAGCAGCCGCGGUAAUACGGAGGGUGCGAGCGUUAAUCGGAAUUACUGGGCGUAAAGGGUGCGUAGGUUGUUUGGUAAGUUAUCUGUGAAAUCCCUGGGCUUAACCUGGGCAGGUCAGAUAAAACUGCUGAACUCGAGUAUAGGAGAGGGUAGUGGAAUUUCCGGUGUAGCGGUGAAAUGCGUAGAGAUCGGAAGGAACACCAGUGGCGAAGGCGGCUACCUGGCCUAAUACUGACACUGAGGCACGAAAGCGUGGGGAGCAAACAGGAUUAGAUACCCUGGUAGUCCACGCUGUAAACGAUGUCAACUAGCUGUUGGGUAUAUGAAUAUAUUUAGUGGCGC
rnacentral:rRNA from 1 species